GAUCAUGGCUCAGGACGAACGCUGGCGGCGUGCCUAACACAUGCAAGUCGAGCGGGGACAUGCGACGGAGACAAAGUACUCGUACGGAGUCAAAGAUGUAUGUUCUAGCGGCGGACGGGUGAGUAACGCGUGAGCAACCUGUCCCUUACAGGGGGAUAACACAGCGAAAGUUGUACUAAUACCGCAUGAGACCACAGCAUCACAUGGUGCAGGGGUCAAAGGAGCAAUCCGGUAAGGGGUGGGCUCGCGUCCGAUUAGAUAGUUGGUGAGGUAACGGCCCACCAAGUCGACGAUCGGUAGCCGACCUGAGAGGGUGAUCGGCCACAUUGGGACUGAGACACGGCCCAAACUCCUACGGGAGGCAGCAGGUGGGGAAUAUUGGGACAAUGGGGGGAACCCUGACCCAGCAACGCCGCGUGAGGGAAGAAGGUUUUCGGAUCGUAAACCUUUGUCCCAGGUGAAGAGGAAGAGACGGUAGCCUGGGAGGAAGCCCCGGCUAACUACGUGCCAGCCGCGGC
rnacentral:rRNA from 1 species